CGACCGGGUCGGGCGAUCGCGUGAUAUGUUGCCGAAAGGUAUUAUCAUGAGGAAAGUCCGGGCUUCACAGGGCAGGAUAACGGAUAACGUCCGCCGAGGGUGACCUCCGGGAAAGUGCAACAGAAAUAUACCACCGCAUUUUAUGCGGAAAGGGUGGAAAGGCGAGGUAAGAGCUCACCCGAAUCUGUGGUAACACAGGUUCGCUGUAAACCCUAUCCGAAGCAACACCGCAUAUGGAAUCCGGCUUAUCACCGGCUGUCUGCCCGGCAGAUUCCAUGGGUGGCACGCACAUUGCUGCGGAGCGUGUCGGAGACGAUGCGCAAAGAUAGAUGAUCGCCGAUUACAGAACCCGGCUUACAGACCCGAUCGCAGC
rnacentral:RNase_P_RNA from 1 species